GACGUAGGGCGCGAGCGUUGUCCGGAUUUAUUGGGCGUAAAGAGCUCGUAGGCGGCUUGUCGCGUCGAAUGUGAAAUCUCAGGGCUCAACUCUGACAUUGCAUUCGAUACGGGCAGGCUCGAGUUCGGUAGGGGAGACUGGAAUUCCUGGUGUAGCGGUGAAAUGCGCAGAUAUCAGGAGGAACAUCAGUGGCGAAGGCGGCUUCCUGGACCAAUACUGACGAUCAGGUGCGAAAGCGUGGGGAGCAAACAGG
rnacentral:rRNA from 1 species